UACGGGGGGGGCAAGCGUUGUUCGGAAUUACUGGGCGUAAAGGGCUCGUAGGUGGCCGACUAAGUCAGACGUGAAAUCCCUCAGCUUAACUGGGGAACUGCGUCUGAUACUGGAUGGCUUGAGUUUGGGAGAGGGAUGCGGAAUUCCAGGUGUAGCGGUGAAAUGCGUAGAUAUCUGGAGGAACACCGGUGGCGAAGGCGGCAUCCUGGACCAACACUGACACUGAGGAGCGAAAGCCAGGGGAGCAAACGGGG
rnacentral:rRNA from 1 species